rnacentral:lncRNA from 1 species
UAUUAUGGUGGGUGGGAUAAAAUGAAGAGCAACAGUGAUGCGGUGGUGGCGAUGGCGGUCGAUGUUAGGAAAAAAUGAAGAGAAAACAAGUUUUGGUGUUGAUGAGGAUGAACUAUGAAUGUUGUUGUUGCCUCGUUGCUACAUUGUUCUUGUUGGAUUUACAAUAUGUUUUUAUGUUAUUGCUGCAUCGUUGUUGUAUUUUGGGUUGUAAAGUUGUGUUUUUGUGUUGUUGUAUUCUUUUUGUUGUGUUGUUCUUAAAAAAUUGUUGUUGGGUUGUAAUUUUUCUUGAGUUAUUUGUUUAAGUUAAAUUAAGUUUAUAAAAUUGCCAAAUAUAUUGACAAUUCAACUAAAA